rnacentral:rRNA from 1 species
UAAGACAGAGGUCUCGAGCGUUAAUCGGAUUUAUUGGGCUUAAAGCGUGCGUAGGCGGGCCGCUAAGCGUCUUGUGAAAGCCCCCGGCUCAACCGGGGAACUGCGGGACGGACUGGCGGCCUUGAGGCAGGUAUGGGCGGACAGAACUGUCGGUGGAGCGGUGAAAUGCGUAGAGAUCGACAGGAAUGCCUAUGGUGAAGACGGUCCGCUGGGCCUGUCCUGACGCUCAGGCACGAAAGCGUGGGGAGCAAACAGGAUUAGAUACCCUGGUAGUCCACGCCGUAAACGAUGCGCACUGGGUCGGUGCCGCUCUGACGCGGUAUCGGCCGCAGGGAAACCGUUAAGUGCGCCGCCUGGGGAGUACGGUCGCAAGGCUA